rnacentral:tRNA from 4 species
AUCCCCGUGGCGCAAUGGAUUAGCGCGUUGGACUUCUAAUUCAAAGGUUGUGGGUUCGAGUCCCACCGGGGAUG